rnacentral:rRNA from 1 species
UUUGACCUCAAAUCAGGUAGGACUACCCGCUGAACUUAAGCAUAUCAAUAAGCGGAGGAAAAGAAACUAACAAGGAUUCCCCUAGUAACUGCGAGUGAAGCGGGAAAAGCUCAAAUUUAAAAUCUGGUAGUCCUUGUGGCUAUCCGAGUUGUAAUCUAGAGAAGUUACCGCCC